rnacentral:lncRNA from 1 species
GCACUAAAAUCCAACUCAUCCACCAAGCAAGGCUAAAGGCGCGCACACAAAUUCAACAGCGCUGCGUUCGCGUGGCUGGAGGGCAGACGGGGAAUAUUCCAUUUUACUUAGUAGAGUAUCAACACCUAGCUGCAGGGUUAAACCUGCUUAACAAAAGCUGGCGAGGGGCUGGAGAGGUGCACACCAUCAGCCCUCUCCCGAGCGCCGACCGGCCUCGCCCUGCCUCUGCGCUGCACCCUGGGUGCAGGCGGACUGGGGCAGGGCCGCGACCCCGGCCUCGGCCUCCGCCUCCGCCCGGCCAGCCCCGACGCGGUGCCACGGGACAGACCCGCAGGGGCCACCCCACACCCCUGCGGGCCGGCCCCCCGCCCCGGUCCCGGACGCUAGCUUGGGAAGGCAGGCCGGGGGCCCAGCCAUCGAUGGCAAGUGGGCGGCGCGGCCUCCGCAGACAAAGCUGGGCGCCCCAUCGAACAGGACCCUCCGCCCCACGCGCCCGCAACCGGCCAGCCCCGGAGCCCUGCCCGCACUGCCACCCCCAGCCCGGCGCCCGGCCCCCAGCCCCCGGUGCUCGGCUCCCGGCCGGCGGAGACCUGCCCGCCGCGCCCGGAGCGCCCGCGCAACCGCCGCCGCCGGAGCGCGCAGGCCGCCCAACCGCCGUCCCGGCCCAACCAACGCGGGCAGGGGAGGAGAGGUGCGCGCGGCCGGCGGAGCGUGCGAGCCACUCGGGGGUCGCAGGGGGAGGCUGCGCGCGGCGAAGGCAGGGGCGACGAGACGCCGAGGCCGGCGCUGAACGCGGCGCCAGGAGGGCCUGCUGGAGGGGGCCUUGCCCUCUUCCCCUUGGAAGGUACUUACACGACGUUGGGUGAGGGGAGCUGGAAGAUCAGCGGGUCCCCGAUCCUCUCUCCCUAGGGGUGAUAGAAAUCAACCCCCCCCGCCACCUCCAGGUGGUUCUUCCCGCCGCAGAGUGGGAGCAGCAUAAAAGGCGGGGUCUUAUUAGCAUAAUCUGCCUGGCAACCUGAUCUCGACGUUAUAUGAUUGGUUAAACUCUGUAAGCCCCAUGCCGUGCCUAGAGACGAGAAACGCUGGGGCGAACUGACAGGCCCAGAUUUAGGAGUCAUGACGAAGAUCCUGAGACGCUUAUUCAGUCUGCAGAGAAGCCAAAAGGAGAUUCACAUAAUGGCCCAAUGACUGAAGGCCUCUUUAUUUCGUGCUCUGCUGUUCGUGUAAAACCCAAUCGCAGAGCGGGUCUCAGGCGGCGCUCGCCUGCGUUUCUACUCUCAGCCAAUCAGAAAACCCGACUCUUCGCAUUGGGGUCAAGCCCCCGCUGCGGCCCGCGUGCUAACGGGGAGGAAGCUUCCAGCUGUGCCUGGGUGUCUCGGGCGCCGAGGGCAGCCUGCGCCCGUGCUAAGCCCGCCUCCCGCGCGCCCGAGGGCCCGGUGUCCCGGAAGACGCGCGGGGGUGAGGCGGCCCUCGCGUCCGCCCGCCCCGCCACAGAUUGCCUCCGAAGUGGCCUGGCCGUGGAGCGCCGGCGAAAACCGAACUCCCGCCCGGCUCCCGGAGUCGGGAGCCUGCCGGGGUCUCGCCCUCAGGACCCCCAGGGAGCGGCCGGGCGCCGCCUAUCACCCUGACCCACCGCACCUUGAGAGCGCUUUCACUGCGCCUCUUUUUUCUCCUCUACCAAUCUGGAAAGGAAGUGAGUGUCAUUUCAGACAUUGAGAAACAUUAUUCAACACUGGUUACCCAGUGACUCAGCUCACUCCUUAACCGCAGGCUUCCACAUCCUGCUGUCCCUUAAAAUUGCCUUCACAAAGGGCAGCCAAGAGCCCAGCUUUGGAGAGAUACCCAGCUCCAACUACCCACUGGCAGGCAAUACGCAGGGCAGCUAGAUGGCAGAGAGACCUUGGACCUUCGGACCUUCGGGGAGCGGUUUUCCCUUCGGUGAUAUCUACCUUGCUAUGUUCGUGAUAUCUACCUUGCUACGUUAUUUUGAAGAUUAAGUGAGCUCUUACUUUACCGAGUAAAGUGCUUUGCUUAGCACACUGUCUGGAACUUAAAUGAGAAGUACUGACAAUAUAACUUACAAAAAUCCUAAACUAUUGCCUGAGAAAAAGAGGGAGACAGGACAGCUAAGCAAAAGACGAGAAUAGAAAACACCCACAGCGUGAAAAACUGUAAAAUUAACUCAAUAGUAUUCUCUUUACUGUUUUUUGUUUUGUUUUGUUGUUUUGUUUUUUGAUACGGAGUCUCGCUCUGUUGCCCAGGCUGGAGUGCAGUGGUGAGAUCUGGGCUCAUUGCAACCUCUGCCUCCCGGGUUCAAGCGAUUCUCCUGCCUCAGCCUCUCUAGUAGCUGAGAUUACAGGCAUGCACCACCACGCCCGGCUAAUUUUUGUAUUUUCAGUAGAGAUGGGGUUUCCCCAUGUUGGCCAGGCUGGUCUCAAACUCUAACGUCAAGUGAUUCUCCCGCCUUGGCCUUCCAAAUUGCUGGGAUUACAGAUGUGAGCCACUGCGUCUAGUCUACCAUUUUGUUUCUUUAAAUAGCUGGAAACAACGUGGAAAGAAAAGAGAGCUUUUUUUUUUUUUUAAACUUCGUGACAGGGUGCGGUGGCUCACGCCUGUAAUCCCAGAAUUUUGGGAGGCCGAGGCGGGUGGAUCGCUUGAGCACAGGCGUUCGAGACCAGCCUGGGCAACAUAGUGAGACUCUGUACAAAAAACAAAAAGAUUAGCCAGGCAUGGCAGUACACAUCUGUGGUUCCAGUUACCGGCAGGCUGUGCAGGAGGGUUACUUGAGCCCAGGAAGUCAAGGCUGCAGUGAGCUGUGAUCGUGCCACUGCACUACAACCUGGGUGAUAGAGCAAGUCUCUGUCUUUAAAAAAACAAAACAACAACAAGAAGAAACUUCAGACAGUUAACUGCUUUGUAAACAACUUCACAUCUAGGCCGUGUCUUGUUCUUCCUUAAACCACUGUACAGGUGGCACUGGACUUAGAUGAGGCCGACCUUAACAUAGCUAGUGAGAGACACUAGUAGCCCUACUCUGGCAACACAGACAUGGAAAUCAGUUGCCUAAGGAAAGAUCAUAUUGGCUAAGAGAGUCCCUUGAAUGCUCCCUUUUAGUGUUACGAGUAGAUGAACAAUGCCGCAGGUUGGACAGGUCCUUCUGUGUCCUUGCAAAAGCUGCCACUCCACAUACCCCUGGCCUCAGUAAGAACGGCUCACUUUUAGAUUUAACAUCAUUACAUCCUUGCUGAUGAACUGAGAUGGUCCCAACUGAGGUCCACUGACCAGAAACAACACCACAGAACCCAAAAGAGAACGCACCAUGGGGAAUGGGGCUAUUCAAACUGAAGAGCCUGAGUUACUCUCAUGGCUUUAGAGAAAUGUUCUAAAACUUCUAAGUACAUAAAUAUGUGCAGGGAGAUUCCUCCCCACAGAGUUUUUAUUCAGAGGGUCUGGAGUGAACCUCAGGAAUUUGCUUUUUAUGUGGAUUUUUAAAUGAUUUUUAAAGUUUACACUGUAAAAUUCACUCACUGGGGUAUACAAGAAGUAUUUAUUGAAUAUGUACUGUGUGCCAUUCAUUUUUCUAAACAAUAAAGAUAGAAUAGGGAACAACAGCAACCAAAAAAGGCCCUGCUGUCAUGCAGCUUUAUUCUAGUGUAGGUAACAAGAAGAAAAGAAAUAACUCCAGGUCAUGAUAAGUGCUACAAAGUAAACCAGGAAAAUGCAAAGGCAGAGAACGCUGGCAGUUUAAAUAGGGUGCCAAAGAAGUUUUCUCUAAGAUACUAACAUUUGAGCUGAGCCUUGAGUUAUGGGGGAAAAAAAAAAGCCAGCCAUGUUAAGAUCUUGGAGAACAUUCCAAUCUAAGAGAAUGGCAAAAGUAAAGACCAUGAGGUGAACAACAAAAAAAUUAGUAUGGCGUGCACAUAUUCAUUCUUCUAUUGAAUAGAUAUUCAUUGAAUGCUUCCCAAAUGCCAGGCACUGUCUUAGAUGCUCUGUGAUUCGUCAAUUAACACUAUAGACAAAAGGAAAAACAACACAAAAAUCCAUGCCUUGACUGAGCUUUCAGUCUAACACACUUGAGAAACAGUAAGAAGGCCAGAAUUAUUGGAACACAGGACAGAGUGAUACAAGAAAGAGUGUAGUGAUACAAGGAUACAGUGAUACAAGAAAACUUGGGGAAAUAGGUCUGGGACAGACCACAUAAGGCUUUGAAGGCUAUGGUAUUGGAAUUAUUAUAGAAAGUGCAACUUAAUAGGAGCAUUGACUAAGUGUGGUAAUUAAAAAAAAAGAAAGAAAAAAGUGCAACUUAAACUAGUUGGAGGUUUUAAGUAAGGUAGUAACACAGUUUUGUCUUUCAAAAUAACUGGCUGCUCUAGGGUGCUUAUUUUGUUUGGGGAGAGGGCAAGAGACAAGGAGUCUGUGCCAAUAUGCUCUGAAUAAGAAACGAUGGCCCAUCUUGACUGAAAUAGAAGUAGCUUAAAUGGGGAGAAGUGUAUGGACACCAGAUAUAUUUUGGAGGUGAAGCCACAGAACUUGCAAAUGAAUAAGUUAUGGAACAGAGUGUAAGUUGCUCCUGGUGACAAGGGAGUGAUCGAGAAUGACUUCUAAGGUUGAAAACUGAGUGGCCAAUGAAUGUUGAUGCCUUAACUGAGAUUAGGAACACUGGGAGAUAAAUGGUUAGAAAAUCAAGAGUUGUAUUGUAGCCAUGUUGAAUUGGAAAUAUCUUUUGGAAAAUCCAACUAGACACCCCACGUAGGCAGCUGGAAUCCAAAAGAGAGAUCAGGGCUGGAAAUACAAUUAUAGGAAUACAGUUCAUCAGAUUAUACAUUAUAUCUAAAUACAUAGAAUUAGGUGUGGUCAUCUAAUUAGGAUUAGAUGAGAGAGAGUGUGUAUAUAGAGAAGACAAGUGUAUCCAGGACUGAGCUCAUGGGAGCUGCUGAAUUUAGAGGUGGAUGAUAGGAAGGCAGCCAUCCAAAAGGCUGAGAAGGAAAUAACACAGGAGGAGAACCUGGAGAGGAUGGUGUCUGAGAAGCCAAGGGAAGACAGUGUUUCAAGAAGGAUGUAGUGGCCAGCUGCAGCAAAUAUUGCUAAAAGCUGAUGAUAAUGACAGUUAACCUGUGGAUCUGGAAAGACAGAGGUGGAAAUUGCUGGUAACUUUGACAAUAGUAGCUUCAAGGGAGAGCUAGGAAGUUUACUGGGAGUCACCUGAAGAAAGCAUAGGAGGUGAAGAGUCACAUCUGUUGCCAACAUAUGGCAGAUAAGAUAGGCCAACGAAAACAACUAAUGUGCUGCAGUGAGCUAUGAUCACACCACUGCACUGAAGCCCAGAUGACAAAGCGAGACCCCGUCUCAAAAAGAAAAAAAAAAGUAUGUCAUGAAAAGCAAAGAAAGCCUGAAAAACUGUUCCAGAUUAAAGGAGAAUAAAAAGACAGAACUAGGCCAGGCAUGGUGGCUCAUGCCUGUAAUCCCAGCACUUUGGGAGGCCAAGGCAGAUGGAUCACCUGAGGUCAGGAGUUCGAGACCAGCCUGGCCAAGAUGUCUCUACUAAAAAUACCAAAAAAUUAGCCAGGUGUGGUGGUGUGCACCUGUAGUCCCAGCUACUUAGGAGGCCAAGGCAGGAGAAUCACUUGAACCUGGGAAGCAGAGGUUGCAGUGAGCCAAGGUCGCGCCACUGCACUCCAGCCUCGGUGACAGAGUGAGACUCCCUCUCAAAAAAAAAAAAAAAAAAAAUAGGGCCUUUGCAGAUAUAAUUAAUUAAGAUGAGCUUAUACUGGAUAAAGUAGGCCCUAAAAACCUAUAACUAGUGUUCUUUUAAGACGAGAAAACAAAGACAUAGAUCCACAGGGGAGGGAAUAGGAAGGCUAAAAACAGCAACAGAGAGUGACGUGUCCACCAGCCAAGGAAUGCUGAAGGUUGCUGGCAACCUCCAGAAGCUGGAAGGAGAUAGGAAGGGUUCUUUCCUAGAGGCUUCAGAGGGAACAGGGCGGGCACCUUGAUUUCAGACCUCUAGCCUCCAGAGCCAAGAGAGAAUACAUCUCUAAGGUUUUAAGCUACCUGUUUGUGAUACUUUGUUAUGACAACCAUGGGAAACUAAUUUAACAUUAUUAAGUAAGAAAUUAUGUGGUACAAGAUUGUUUGGGGUUGUCGGGGAGAAGGAGAGAGUGAGGAAUUAUCUGAAUGUGGAUAGCUGGGAUGAUGAGUAUUUAUAAGAUAGCAACAGUUUUGGGUGUUUUUGUUUUUAAGAUUUGAAUGAAAAACUAGCUGGGGCCAGGUGGCACAGUGACUCACACCUGUUAAUCCCAGCACUUUGGGAGGCCGAAGUGGAUCACUUGAGUGAGGAGUUUGAGAGCAGCCUGGGCAAUAUGGUGAAACCCUGUCUCUAUUUAAAAAGAAAAAAAGAAAGAAAGAAAAGAAAAGAAAGAGAGAGAGAGAAAAAAGUAGCCUGGCGUGGUGGCGCAUGCCUGUAGUACUAGAUACUUGUGAGGCUGAGGUGGGAGGAUCAUCUGAGCCCAGAAGGUUUGAGAUUGCAGUGAGCCAUGAUUGUGCCACUGCACUUUAGCCUGGAUAACAGAGUGAGACCUCAUUUCAAAAAAAAAAAAAGAAAAGAAAAAAAGAAGAAGAAGAAGGAGAAGGAGAAGAAAGGGAGAAAGAGAGAAAGAAGGAAGGAAGGAAAGAAAAAGAAAGGGAGAGAAAGAAAGAGAAAGAGAAAAAAGGAAAACCAUACAGGGAGGAAAUCAUAUAACAAUGAUAAAUGUGGAAAAGCUGCUAUUAAAAUGUCAAGUCUCAUUAGACACCAAAGAAGACAUGCUGGAGAGACUGUCCUUCCUAUGCACAUAAGGAAGGUGGGAAAGCCUUCAGUCGCAAAUCACAUCUCACAGAGAAUGAGAAAAAUUCAUCCAGGAAAGAAAGCCCGGAAUGGAAUCAAUGUGGAAGUGUCUUAGCUAGAAGAAAUACUUCAUUAAAGAUCAGAACAUUCACACUGUAAAUAAUGAGAACUCUAUGAAUGUAAGAAAUGUGGAACAUCUUCAGCCAAAAGGAAAACUUCAUUAUUCAUCAAUAAUCCAUAUAAAAAAGAAAUCUUAUGAAUGUAGUAGGUAUGAAAAAGCUUUUAUUCGGAAGUCAAACUUUAUACCAGAGAGGUCAUACUGGAGAUAAACCCUACGCAAGUAGGGAAGGUGAGAAAGCACUCAGUGGCAAAUCAAAUUCCACUGGGCAUGAGAAAAUCCAGAUUUGAGGCCAGGCGCGGUGGCUCACGCCUGUAAUCCCUGCACUUUGAGAGGCCAAAGUGGGUGGAUCACUUGAGCACAGGAGUUCAAGACCAGCCUGGGCAACAUGGCGAAACCCCGUCUCUACUAAAAAUAAAAUAUAUAAAAACUGAGGUCUCUACUAAAAAUAAAAUAUAAAAACGAUCACCUGAGCCUGGGGAGGCGGAGACUGCAGUGAGCCGUAAUCACGCCACUGCACUCCAGCCUGGGUGACAGAGUGACACCCUGUCAAAAAAUAAAAAGAGAAGAAAAGAAAAUUCAGAUCUGAGGGGUGCCCUGUAAAGAUAAUGAAAGUGCAACGAUCUUCGGGCAGAAGCUAUUCAUCAUUAAAUAUUACAAUAUUCAUGACGAGGGCGACACCCUAUACUAAGGGUGCAGAAGUUUUCUCUGUAAUCAUACUGCUUAUUGUACAUGUAAGAACCCGUAAGUAUGAAUGUAAAAUGUGUGGUAAAGUCUUCUGUCCAUUCUUAGCCAAUGCUCUACAUAAGAGAACCAAUACCAACGAAAAAAACUAAUGAAAUAUCUCAAACAGAAGUCAUGCCAUAUUUGACACCAAAGAAUUCAUACUCAUUAAAACCUUAUGAAUACCUUGGAUUUAGGAAAGGCUUUAGCAGGAAUUCAUAUUUCAUAGCACAUCAGAUAAUUAAAUUUUAGAGUAAAAUUCAAUUAAUAUGAGAAAGCCUUAAGCAGAAACCCAAAUUUUAUGAUAUUAGAGAUUUUUAAUAAGGAGAUAUUUCAUCAGUAUAAUAGAAAUUGGGUCCAAAGGCCAGGCGUGGUGGAUCACGUCUAUAAUCCCAACAAUUUGGGAGGCAAAGGCAGGCAUAUCACUUCAGGUCAAGAGUUCAAGAUCAGCCUGGCCAACAUGGGGAAACCCCAUCUCUACUUAAAAUACAAAUAUUAGCCAGGCCUGGUGGCACACACCUGUAAUACCAGCUACUCAGGAGGCUGAGGCACAAGAAUCACUUAAGCCUGGGAGGUGGGGUUGCAGUGAACAGAGAUCGUACCACUACACUCCAGUCUGGGCAACACAGCGAGACCCUGACUCAAAAGAGAAGAACAGGAAGAGAAAGGGGAAGAGGGGGAGGGGGAGGGGGAGAGGGAGAGGGAAAGGGAGAGGAAGAAAGAGAAGGAGAAGGAAAAGGAAGAACUGGGUCCAAAAAGCCAUCACAACAAAUAUAAUUAGUGCUAACUUUGUUUUGUUUUGUUUUUUUGAGACGGAGUCUCGCUCGGUUGCCCAGGCUGGAGUGCAUUGGCAUGAUCUCGGCUCACUGCAAGCUCCGCCUCCUGGGUUCACGCCAUUCUCCUGCCUCAGCCUCCCAAGUAGCUGGGACUACAGGCGCCCACCACCACGCCUGGCUAACUUUUUUGUAUGUUUAGUAGAGAUGGGGUUUCACCGUGUUAGCCAGGAUGGUCUCGAUCUCCUGACCUCGUGAUCUGCCUGCCUCGGCCUCCCAAAGUGCGGGGAUUACUGGUGUGAGCCACCACGCCCAGCCAAUUACUGCUAAACUUUUAAAAGCAUUCCAAUUGAAUGUCAGGAACAAGUGAUGGAUGCUGUUACCCUACUUCUAAUUAACACGGCCCUGAGAGGUUAACCAAUGCAAAUAAGACAGAGAAAAAGAACACAAGGAUUAGGAAAGAAGAAACAAACUUGUAGGUUUCUGAGGAUAUGAUCUGCUAACAUAUAUUAUAAAGCUAUGAUCAUUAAAAAAAAAAAUUGGUUGGGCGCAGUGGCUCACGCCUGUAAUCCCAACACUUGUAAUCCCAACACUGCCGAGGAAGGCAGAUCAUCUGAAGUCAGGAGUUCGAGACCAGCCUGACCAACAUGGAGAAACCCGGUCUCUACUAAAAAUACAAAGAUUACCUGGGCGUGAUGGCAGGCGCCUGUAAUCCCAGCUACUCGGGAGGCUGAGGCAGGAGAAUCGCUUGAACCCAGGAGGCAGAGGUUGCAGUGAGACGAGAUCGUGCCAUUGCACUCCAGCCUGGGGGACAAGAGCAAGAUUUUGUCUCAAAAAAAAAAAAUAAUUUAAAGCCAAAGUGGAACUCCUGGGAGAUGAACCUGCAUCAAAGCUGGCUUUCAUCAAGGGAUUCUGCAGAACACUAACACCUUGAGUUUCUAUUUUAAGGAUAUACAGGGUAUAGGUAGGAGACAGUGAUAGAGUCUUGGGCCCACUCAAAAUAUAAAGCCUAAGAGAAGAUAAUUUCAUCAAGUUGAAUGAUAUAAUAAGUGUAAGGGUGAAUAAAAAGUAAACUGGCCUUAAAGAGAGAUCCAUCAGAGAAACUUGCUUCUCUCAACCAAGGGCAAAAUAAAAACAUUUUCAGACAAAUGAGAGUUAAAAGAAUUGACUACCAAAAUAUUUUACACUAGAAUUAGUACUAAAUGAGGCAAAACAAAUACAAUCACAGGCGGAAGAUUUAAAAUGCAAGGAGGAAUUGUGAUUUCAUUUUAUUAUAGAGUAAGUUCU